AGAGUUUGAUCCUGGCUCAGGACGAACGCUGGCGGUGUGCUUCACACAUGCAAGUCGAACGAGGUAGCAAUACCUAGUGGCGGACGGGUGAGUAACGCGUGGGAAUCUGCCCAAGGGUGGGGGAUAACUAGCCGAAAGGUUAGCUAAUACCGCAUAUGCCGUGAGGUAAAAGGAGUAAUCCGCCCCUGGAUGAGCCUGCGUCCGAUUAGCUAGUUGGUGGGGUAAAGGCCUACCAAGGCUACGAUCGGUAGCUGGUCUGAGAGGAUGAUCAGCCACAAUGGGACUGAGACACGGCCCAUACUCCUACGGGAGGCAGCAGUGGGGAAUUUUACGCAAUGGGGGAAACCCUGACGUAGCGACACCGCGUGAGCGAAGAAGCCCUUUGGGGUGUAAAGCUCUGUCAGCAGGAACGAAUAAAUGACGGUACCUGCAGAGGAAGCAUCGGCUAACUACGUGCCAGCAGCCGCGGUAAGACGUAGGAUGCAAGCGUUGUCCGGAUUUAUUGGGCGUAAAAAGUUCGUAGGCGGUUUGUUAAGUCUGAUGUUAAAGAUCGGGGCCCAACCCUGGGAGUGCAUUGGAUACUGGCAGACUGGAGUGCAGUAGAGGCGAGUGGAAUUCCCAGUGUAGCGGUGAAAUGCGUAGA
rnacentral:rRNA from 1 species